rnacentral:lncRNA from 1 species
UUAGAUACAAAAAUCAUGGAUCUGAAAUUUUUUAGUAAACUGACCCCUAUACAUUGUUUCAGUCAUAAUUUUUAGCACCAAACAUGGAUUUAGGCAGGACCUUGUUUAUUUGAAAGUAGACUCUUAUACCUUCCUUUUGACACUGAUUUUGAAAAUUUUGGACUCCGAAUACUUACCCAAACGUCUAUUUCAAUUGAGCC